rnacentral:rRNA from 1 species
CGUGUAGGCGGUCAGGUAAGUGGAAUGUGAAAUGCCCCGGCUCACCCGGGGACCGGCAUCCCAAACUGCCUGGCUUGAGUAUGGGAGAGGAUGGAGGAAUUCCUGGUGUAGCGGUGAAAUGCGUACGAUAUCAGGAGGAACACCGGUGGCGAAGGCGUCCAUCUGGCCCAAUACUGACGCUGAGGCGCGAAAGCUAGGGGAGCAAACG